GACGUAGGGCGCGAGCGUUGUCCGGAUUUAUUGGGCGUAAAGAGCUCGUAGGCGGCUUGUCGCGUCGAAUGUGAAAUCUCAGGGCUCAACUCCGGGCCUGCAGUCGAUACGGGCAGACUGGAGUUCGGCAGGGGAGACUGGAAUUCCUGGUGUAGCGGUGAAAUGCGCAGAUAUCAGGAGGAACACCGGUGGCGAAGGCGGGUCUCUGGGCCGAUACUGACGCUGAGGAGCGAAAGCGUGGGGAGCGAACAGG
rnacentral:rRNA from 1 species